rnacentral:rRNA from 1 species
AUGGCCGCGGCAGCCAUUUCCCUCUGCGGCUCGCGCUGCGUCGGCCCGAGCCGGACGCCCGAAUCUCGCCUCGCCUCGCAAGCCGCCGCCGCGCCGUGCGCGCGGCCGUCGUCGUCGCGCCGAAGGCUGGUGGUCGUGGCCGCCAAGUCGUCGGGGAAGAAGGCGGACGAGAAGGUCCCCUCCUGGGCCCGGCCGGGCUCCGACGAGCCUCCUCCGUGGGCGCGCGACGAAGGCGGGGCCUCGGGGCAGGAAGGCGACGCCGUCCAGGUUCCUUUCUACGCGUACCUGCUCGCGUCCGCCGUGACGGCCAUCGCCGCCAUCGGGUCGAUAUUCGAGUACACGAACGGGCGGGCGGUGUUCGGCGUGGUGGGCACGGACAGCCCCCUCUACGCGCCCAUCCUGGGCUUCUUCGCCGUCACCGGCAUCCCGACCUCCGGGUAUCUGUGGUACAAGGCCGUGCAGACGGCGAACAAGGACGCCGAGGAGCAGGACCGCAGGGACGGCUUCCUCUGA